rnacentral:rRNA from 1 species
GUCUGUAUGUAGUUAUAUGGAGUCUAACCUGCCCGUUGAAAGAGUUUGAAAGGCCGCGGUAUAUUAACUGUGCAAAGGUAGCAUAAUCAUUAGCUUUUUAAUUGGAGGCUUGAAUGAAGGGUUGGACAAAGAAAAAUCUGUCUUUAAUUUUGAGUUUGAAUUUAACUUUUAAGUGAAAAGGCUUAAAUAUUUUUAAGGGACGAUAAGACCCUAUAAAUCUUUAUAUUAAACUAUUUUAUUAAAAAAUAAUAUUUGUCUAGAUUUAAAUAAAACAUGAAAAUAUUUUGUUGGGGUGACAAGAAUAUAGAAUUAACUGUUCUUUAAUUAAACAGAUUUGUUUGUUUAUUUAGUAGAUCCUUUUUAGAGAUUAAAAGUUUAAGUUACUUUAGGGAUAACAGCGUUAUUUUUUUUGAGAGUUCAUAUCGAAAGAAGAGUUUGCGACCUCGAUGUUGAAUUAAGAUUUCUCUGCGGUGCAGUUGUUGUGGGAGGAAAGUCUGUUCGACUUUUGAAAUUUU